rnacentral:rRNA from 1 species
AUUGAACGCUGGCGGCAGGCCUAACACAUGCAAGUCGAGCGGAUGAAGGGAGCUUGCUCCUGGAUUCAGCGGCGGACGGGUGAGUAAUGCCUAGGAAUCUGCCUGGUAGUGGGGGAUAACGUCCGGAAACGGGCGCUAAUACCGCAUACGUCCUGAGGGAGAAAGUGGGGGAUCUUCGGACCUCACGCUAUCAGAUGAGCCUAGGUCGGAUUAGCUAGUUGGUGGGGUAAAGGCCUACCAAGGCGACGAUCCGUAACUGGUCUGAGAGGAUGAUCAGUCACACUGGAACUGAGACACGGUCCAGACUCCUACGGGAGGCAGCAGUGGGGAAUAUUGGACAAUGGGCGAAAGCCUGAUCCAGCCAUGCCGCGUGUGUGAAGAAGGUCUUCGGAUUGUAAAGCACUUUAAGUUGGGAGGAAGGGCAGUAAGUUAAUACCUUGCUGUUUUGACGUUACCAACAGAAUAGGCAUCGGCUAACUUCGUG